rnacentral:rRNA from 1 species
UACGUAGGGUGCGAGCGUUAAUCGGAAUUACUGGGCGUAAAGCGUGCGCAGGCGGUUUUGUAAGCCAGAUGUGAAAUCCCCGGGCUUAACCUGGGAAUGGCAUUUGGGACUGCAAGGCUGGAGUGUGGCAGAGGAGACUGGAAUUCCCGGUGUAGCAGUGAAAUGCGUAGAUAUCGGGAGGAAUACCGAUGGCGAAGGCAGGUCUCUGGGCUGACACUGACGCUCAUGCACGAAAGCGUGGGGAGCAACCAGG